rfam:Oryza sativa (indica cultivar-group) chromosome 11, whole genome shotgun sequence.
AAUAAGCGCAGCCGUGGGUUUCCGUGUUCAACGUUUGACCAUCUCUCUUAUAUAAAAAAUUUAUAAAAAUAUAAAAGAAAUUAGUCACAAAUAAAAUAUUAUUCAUAUUUUAUCAUCUAAUAACAAUAAAAAUACUAAUCAUAAAAAAAUUUCAAACAAGAUGAAUGGUUAAAUGUUGGACAUC